rnacentral:lncRNA from 1 species
AGUUAUUACCCAAGUUUAAAUAUUAUAAACACUAAUAACCUAGUAAAUUUGCUCUAGAACCUCUAAGAUGUUGUCCAAACAAAUUUUGUGUAGCCGAAGUUGGAGCAUUACGAAAAUAAUUUUCUGGAAUAUUGUGGUAUUUUGCUUUUUAAAUUAAUAUUUAAUUAUAAAUUUCUAUUUAUAAUUUUAUAUUUUGGUGUAACAUUUUGUUAAUUAAUAUUAGUGUAAUAUUUUAAUAUAUGUGCUAGAUAUAUUAUAAUUUUUUUAUGGAUUUAUAUUAACUAUGACAAAUAUAAAGACACAUAGAGUAAAUUAUAAAUAAUUUUGAAAUUAAGUUUAAGAGUUUAUUUUUGGAGAAUACCACCUUGAAAUUUCAAAUAUAAAUUUUUGUGAACUUUAAAAUGGAGAGUAUUUUUGAAAAUGUUCAAAAAACAUAUGGCAACAUUCUCGGUUAACUUCGAUGACGAUGUAGUUGUGAACACAAAUAUUUUACUUAUUAAAAAAAUGAAUUGAGAAAAGAAUAAAAUGGUUGUAUAGGACCACCAUCACACUGAUUCACAUAUAACAGCAGCCUAAAUCAGUUUGACGGGUUCAACGCUUAUUUCUAGUGGUUGGCAAAGAAAAAACCGAGAAGUCAAACUGAACCAGUCAAACUCAAAAAGACCCAA